AGAAUGAACGCUGGCGGCGUGCUUAACACAUGCAAGUCGAACGGAAUACAAGGUAGCUUGCUCCGAACUAUUUAGUGGCGAACGGGUGAGUAUCACGUGAGCAACCUGCCCCGAAGACUGGGAUAACACCGGGAAACCGGUGCUAAUACCGGAAUGUCUUUCAAUGAUCGCAUGAUCGAUGAAAGAAAUGUUUUUUUCGCUUUUGGGAGGGGCUCGCGGUCCAUCAGCUUGUUGGCGGGGUAAUGGCCCACAAGACUAUGAUCGGUA
rnacentral:rRNA from 1 species